CCUAACAACACACAACAUUCCAGGAAUGUACUACCAAAGUUCUAUCAAUAUUUGAAUGUCCUGGACAUUUAGGGAACAUUCGGUGAACAUCUGUUUAAAUUAUUCCUGGAAUGUUACCAUAAGACAUUCUGUGAACAUACUACCAAUGUUCCUAUAUUUUAAGUUGCGAAAUAAUACAUACGUGUAAGAGAUACAACAUUACUUAUAACAUACCAGACAAACUAAGUGACAUUUUAGGCCUACAGUGCAAUAAUAUGUCAAAUUUAAAGAGUUUCCCAAGAUUAUAAACAUACAAAUGUAAUAAAAAUUAUUGUUCGCGAAUAUUCAAUUUGGAAUGCGAUUUUGUUAAUAAAAAAAAUACUUAUAACUUAUGCAAAACCCAAGAGAAGCAUUUAUAUUUAUUUCUUUUGCGUUCAUUUUCAAAUUCGCCGUGCAUAUAUUUUUGUGCAUGGCGCUUGAGAGGGCAUCACGUGACUAAAAACGACCAACCAACGACCUCGCUUCGGCCAUCUUGGCAUCUUCAUCUUGGCGACCUUGCCUUGCCGUGGAUUGUUUUUAGUUGUUUGUAUUAUUUGUGCUUUUUAAGAAUAUUUUUUUAAUUCGGAUACUUUUAUAAUAGCUUUAAUAGUAUUAUUAACAUAGUGCAUAAAAUGGUGUCCUGUUUUUAACGCAGUUGGAGUAGCAGAAACAAAUGUAGAUAAAAAAAUCUGCAGGAAUAACGUUUCAAUUAUGACAGAAGCUCAAAACAAAUGACUGUGAAUGAAAAGCCCUAUUAAAAGCUUUCCAGAAGAUCCUGCGAAGAAGACAUGAAGUAUAGAUCAGAUUUGUUAAUAGAGGAGUAUGUUCAAAACACUUUUUAGAAAAAGAUAUUGACAGAACUUCACUUUCAUCUGUUCGUUUGAGAGACUGUGCUGUUCCAAUAGCUUAUGUCACACAGAAUCAGCUGAGAGAAGUGGUCUACAAAAAACCAGAAAGGAAACGGAAUAUGUGGCUACGAAAAGCAAAAGAAAGGUUUACAAAGCAAAUGUGACACAUUUUUUUAUAAUAUUUAGGAAUGUCAGCAAAUUACAUUAAAAAAUGUAUGUAAAGAUUUUUUGCAAUAAAAAUGUUUAUAUUUA